AUUGAAGACAGUGAUUGCUCACUUUAAAUCAUUAACACGCAUAAUCAUAGCAGCAAUAGUUUAUCUUGCAACCCUUAAAAAUGACGGAAUAUUACCUGAAAAGAUACCACAUUCAUGGUAAUAAGAGCAAGCAACAAAUUUCAUAUAUAUGGUAUGUAUGUAUACAUAUAUACAUACAUGCACACAUUGAGUGUGUGUGUGUGUGUGUGUAAAUCAAACCCAUUUUUAUUUUGGUAACCAUAGUUUAACAUUCUGGAGGCAACAGUGCAGACACUCUCAGGUACUUGCUACAAAUGCAAAUUCUUAAGCCUCAGUCAGACCUAAACCAGAACACUGGGUGGGAUCCGCUUGUGAGCGCGGCCGCCAGGUCCUUCUGAUGGGUUUUCCAGCAGAGGCCUGGCUACCUCUACUGUACACUGUGUCCCGCUUUACUCUGCUACUGUGCAUAGAUAAUAUCCUAGGGUCCAUUGUGAAUCUAUAAUUCCAUUAUAAUGGGAAUAAAUUUCCAGUAAGUCAACUGCUUAUGUUUUAGAUAAAGAUUUCGAUGUCAUGGCUUCUAGCUUUGUAUUCACACAUGCUUCUCAUUUACCAGGACUGUGAUAUUAAAAGCUGCAAAAUUAUAUGCCCCCCCCCAAAUGCUCUAACAAUAAGCAAAAGGCUUCUCAGUGCAAAGGCCCACGGCCUUUCAGACUUUAGGCACAGGGUUCCUUGGGUGUCUUAUUAAAUGCACGCCUGGCCUGAGGCCCUGUUUCCUGGAUUUCUAGCCAGCUCUGGGCUGCUACUCUGUGGAUCAUGCUUUUGAACAGCCAGUUGCUCCAGUGUUAUUCAUGGUUCCUGGGGAGGUCAAGUCAUGGGGAUUUCCACCGUGACACUCUGCCUUGAACACUGUCUAGAUGUUUAACAAAGAACUAUACUCGGAAAAACAGAGGAAAGAAUUUUGAAAUCUUUCUUUAGAAUCUGCCUUACUUUUCCUACAUCUCUCUAUAUGUGCAGUCUGAGCUUUAGAAAACAUUUCCAAGAAUGGAUUAAAAAGAAACACAUUUGUUGGCCCUAUAACAUCGCCGAAACUUGUGUUGUCGGGGGGAUCCAAAGCAGCUUUGUGAGGGGUAGAAGCCAAGAGGAAAGGAUCCAUAUGACUGCAAUUUUUCCAGUAUAUCAGACAUCUAACUAGGUGGAUGUAAGGUGUGAAGUGACAUAUCUUAGAAACACAAAGGAAAUGCUGGCUUUGGGUCAUGACUAAACCCAAGUCUUGGAAUAACAUUCUCAAAACUGGGUCUCAUACUAUGUUCUUCUUGGACUUUUUUGGGGUCAAUUUUAUAUAAACCAGAAUCACCUGGGAAGAGAAACUUAAUUGAGAAAAUGCUUCCAUCCAGAUUGCCGAUAGGGCAUUUUCUUGAUUAAGGUUGACUUGGCUAACACCCCUGUUAAUCCCACACAGUGAGAAUAAGAACUCUACUAAACUUUUGAGACAAAUUUGAAACAAGCUUUAUUAAACACCGGUUGGGACAAUGGACACUGGCCUGGUCUAUACCCGGGAGUAUGGCACCAAAUUAUAUUAGUCAGAGGCUUAUAUAGGCUACGUACUUCCUGCCUUUGUCUAAUGGGGGCAAGCACACAUCCUGGCUUACUUCCUGCCUACGUACCUCAUGCCUAUGUGUGAUCGAGCACUUCCUGUGGAGUUGAGGCAACCAAGCUUCUUUGCAGAAGCAAAAACACAUGGCUCGUUAUCUUACCCGCACAACAGCCCCCAGCAUUCCAGGAAGCUAUUUGUCUUCGGGCAAGUGGGGCUUACAGGUUUGAGGUAUUUUGUUUUGUUUUAUAGAGUUCUUGAGCACAGUAAUUUAAACUUAGAACAUAAUGUUAACCACCACAGUGGGCAGGCUCAGCCCUCAGGGAGCAAAAUCGCCACUGGACAGGUUGUUUCCAGUUCUCUAAGAAAGCAGCUUGAGCUAGCCAGGAGCAGCAAGUCCAUGAGCCGCACUCCUCCAUGCAUGGUCUCUGCUCCGUUCAGCCUCCAGGUUCCUGCUUUGGUUUCCUCACAGGGAUGGGCUGUGACCUGGAAGUGUAAGAUGAAGGAAACCCUUUCCUCCCCAAGUGGUUUUUGGUCACAGUAUCACAACAAUAGAAGCUUAAGACAUACCAUUUCUAAACUCUGAUAAUUUUUUUUCCUACAGUGGCUUUAUUUUCAGUCUCUCUUGCCCUACCUAGGACUGUAACUAACUGUCAGUUGUGGGUUCUGCAGUCACUACAGUAAAAAAAUAAAAUAAAAUAAAAAUCAUCUCUGCACAUGGUUCAUAACCUCACCCCUGAAUCUGCUGACGUCGGCCACCUGUAUACUUCUGAAAAAGUCUACGAGUGGCAAUAACCUCAUGCAAGCAAGCAGAGGGAAGGGUGAGGUCCCAAUCCCAAUGAAAAUCCGUUUUACUGCAAGAAUAGGGGGUGGGGGAGGGGUGGAUGUCAGAGUGUAAGGUGGUGUGAUUUCUCUGAUCUCCAAGCCCUCUGUAUUUGUUGGAAAGCAGGGUUAAGUGCUUUAAGCAAAAUCACAUAGAUCAUGACCAGUGGAGCCAGGAUUUCCUAACUUCUUUAUUGGUCUGUCCUCUCUUCUGUUGCCUUCUUGGAAUCUAGUACUUAAUCAGAUAUGGAGCCUUGGUACCGUCUGCCUUAUCUUUUUGAAUAUUGUCUUUAAUGAUGUAUCCUGCUGUAUUCAACUUAAAGAAACUGUAAUAGUUCAUUUAUCAUCUUUGACUCUUACAUUGACUGCCCAGAGUAAGAAAACCACAUUCCUUCAGUGGUAGUAAUCCUCGAUGCUCCUUUGCUCCUUGGGGAAGCACGUCGAGGCUUGACAAAGUGUGUCUUGCCUAUCUCCUUGGAAGGACUCUGAGCCAUAGCCUAGUGAUCCUAUGAAGAAGGUAGAUGCCCAAUGUGUGGAGAAGCUCGUACCAGCCCCUCCAUCCUUCUGUGGUGUGUUUUUAACCCUACAGCUUGAUUAAUAGUCUAGUUUAGGUCUCCCCUUGUGGGUGGUGUGUCGCUUUUUCAACUUUCCCAGGUUCUGUGAUAUCCCCACGGACAGGUAGAGGCAUGCAUGGAAAAUCUGGAGUUCUGCCCACAAGGCAUGUCUGCCGUUUGCAAAGGGGCAAUGUAGCAAUUACGUGAGUAACACAGUGGCAAGUCUUCUAUGAGAAACCAAAGCUAGAAAGGGAGGGAUCUUCUCCUUGGAGGAUGGGCACUGGGUGAACGGACUCUUAGCUUAGGACUGUGUUUUCCUUUCUCUCGCUCUCCCCAAAUUCAAUCCCUAUCUCUCUAGACAUCUUUUUUUUUCUGAGUCCUUCAUUGUGGCACCCAAUCAGUCAUGGAGAGGAAAGAGGAAGAGCUGACUAGAAGGUUACAGUCUGCCUGUUCAUAGCAACUGAAAGUUUUCUUAGGUUCUGGUUCCAGGGGAGGGAGCCGAAGAACUCACCCUGGUGUCUGAAGGGUUGCGAGCAGCAGCCAGGCUCCUGGUGGCUCCUGGAGCAGGUAGGAAAAUGUAGUUUAUGCUUGUAUUUUGCUUUGUGUGAAGUAGAGUCUGAAGACAGACUGAACCCUAAGUGUCCGAUAAUGGGUACAAUAAGAUGGCCAGAGUGUCCAAGUGCUUUGACUCCCUCUGUGAAGCCCGAGCUAAUGAGAAGGUUGGUUUUACUGUGGAAACCAUCUGUGCCUUGAGCCUUCUCUGGAGAGUUGUCCAAUGUUAGAGCCACGCAGGCAAGAUGGGAAGGAGCUCACAUUUUCAUGAACUGGUGCUUGUGAUUUCUGAACUUUCCUUGUGUGCACUUAGUGUGUGCGUGCGUUGUCUGCGGACACACACACCGUUAUAAAGGACACUGACUGUCACAGUCACAGAUACUUAUCUGAUCAAAAGCCCCACUUAACACACGCUUCUAUAACAACAAUGGCUCCUUGAGAGACACUACCAUGUGUUCUUAUAAAGCAACCCGAGAGUCUGAGAAACAUUAAGUUGGUGAUGGUUCCAUUAACGUCAGUUACAGGCUCAGGCCUCCCGGGUCACAAAAGAUAUCUACACAUUUUGGGUUCAUGCGUCUCUUUAUAAGGAAUGUAACUUAACAAAACCAGAUGGAGAGGUCGUAAAACAAAUGGGAUGAGCUAUUGCGGGCUUUGUCAUAACCCGAUCCUAAGGGCUGUAAAAGUAAAAAGGGCUGAGAGAAGGAAGUAAUGAAGGGGCGGUGGGGAGGAACAAUACGGAAUUUGUGAGAAUUUUUCCGUCUGCUUUUCAAAGGCAAACUAAGUAAGCCCGGGAGUCUGCAACCAGACAAUCAUCUGUCAGAUAAGAUAUUUAAGGAUCUCGUCAUUACAUCAGUGCUUUGUAGUGACUGCUGUUGGCCAUUGUAUGAGAGGGGGUGGGGGUGGGGAGAAGAGACACCUGGCAUGCAGGGCUAGAGUGCUCCCUUUGGUAGCACAUGCACUAAAAUCAGAACGGUGCAGGGAGGAUUAGCACUGCCCCUGCACAAGGAUAUCAUGCGAAAGAUUCUACUUUCUCUUUAAAUGCUAAGCAGUGCUCUCUGAGCUUUCGGCACAGGGCUAACCCCUCAGGUAUGUACCUCUGUAUCCAUGUGUCUGUGUCUAUAUCUCUACCUAUCCUUCUCCCUUUCUUCAGUAACCUUACCUGCCUCAUCACGGUGACCAACAAAAACACAGCAGCAGUUUUGGUGCAGUUGUAGGAAGGAAGUUUGCUGGCACUGUCCAGGUAGGCAGGGCAUCUGAUAAAAUUAAUAGCAUCUCCCAGGCUUCUCUGAUUGAUUCAAGCUUUCUUAAAGUCCGGUUUUUGGUGGACUAGCGAUAGUCAGUGCUCUGCUAUGGGACUUACAUACUGGCUGUGAGCUCCACAUUUCCUGGGAGAGAACAUUGCUUGCUCUUCGUCUGAGAGGAGGUACAAGUCAGGGAAGGCUCUGCCCUGUUCCCCCAGACCCUCCUUCCUUCUGAGGAGUCUUUUCUGGUGUCUCCUGGGGUCCUUCUUUUCCACUUUGGAUCAUAUCUGAAUGCUUCUGGCCUGAAGUAAGGAUGACUGGGCCUUCCUUUGUCCUUGGCCCAGGCCAUCCCUGCCACUGGACAAUGAAACAUCAGUCGUUCUACUGCAGACCCGGAGUCAAGGCUGGAAACGAUUCCCAUGAAGAAGUCAAGAAGUCUCUGGGCUACUUACCCUUCAACUCCAUGUGUUACUAGUGAUGGCCGAGGCUCGCUCAGGAGGGGUGCUCUCACCUCCUGAGCCCCUUCAUCCUUUCGAUCUAUGAUUUCAAGUCUUCUGGGAUGUAGAUUUGUGUCUCACAAGGCUAGAGAUGUCAGGGAUUGGCUCGUGCUAAUCUCAGUACCAAGGGGUUGGCUAGUGUUCUCUGGCUAACUUGGACAGUGCCUUGGGCCUCCAUCUCUUUAGGUUUCUUGGAAACCGUUGUUAUUGUGAGAUUUGGAAUGAAUUACUGAAAUAUAACCAGCUUUGAUAUUUGGCCUUAACUUUAAGCCUCAAAGGCUUUCCUUUAAAAAAAAAUGAGCAAAUUAGAGAUUCAAAAUGAAAAAUAUUAAAGGAGGAUAAUCUCAUUGAGUACCUACUGUGAGCCAGUACUCUACUCUACUAGACUUUUUUACAUAUGAAGCUGCAUUCCAUCCUGACCGCAACCAACAGAACAGAAAGACUGAAGGCUACGAAUUAUAAAGACUUAGGCUAGUCACCAUGGUGACAGUGGAGUACAAAUGUAGGUCAGAGUCAAACCUUGAUUUCAAACAACUUCUCUGUGGACAGCGUCCUCAGAUGCCUCCUCUCAUAUAAUCGCCACAACCCUGGAACACAGGCACAGACACAGACAUGACACUUAACUUGGCGGGUGAGAAAACUGAGAGUCAAGUACUUCCUGUCUAAUGGAAACUAAAGCUCCCAUUACAUUUACUCCUCUCAAACACAGCGGAUUUCCUGGGAAAUGAUGUGGACCUGAAAAUGUUUAAGCUCCUGGGUCCUAGUUAACAGUAUUCUCUUCACAUAGCUUCUGAUUGUCCCAGCCUGAUGUCAGGUUAUAAACAAUGUGACAGCCUCCAUCUUUGCCACAGCCUCCCUCUCUGAGGCCACUCAUUCUAAGGGACGCCAGCUGUCUCGCUGUGAGAGAUGAUGUGGAGAGAGGCUCCUGUGGAGAGCAGUGUGGUGAAAGUACCUCAGCUGCUGUAGGAUCCCAAGCCUUUUCACCAGAAAACUGCCAUCAGCUACAUCCAGGCCUUGUAAGCAGAAGGCGCCAGUUAAACAUUGCUACAGGGCAAACAUCAUAAACAGCCAUGACCUAAAACUACUUCAAUGAAUUCUUUCUCAUGGCUCACUGGGCUAACAAACCCACGAUUUCUUCUGCUGGCUUGUCCUCUGCAUACACAUGCACUUCGUGAGCUACAGGUUUAAAUGGGAGUCACUCCAGGGAUCAGGGCAGCUGGGACACCUGAGCUGACCUUUUGUGGAAGACUUUAUCAACAGCUGGAUAAGAGCAGGAGCUACAGAAUGUCUUGCGGGCUGGCCUUGGAAAUUGAAUAUCACCUCUGCCGUGUUCUAUGGAGUAAGUCAAGUGAAGGAUCCACCUAGGUUUGAAAGAUGGAGAUGUGAAUGCUUGGUUUUUCUCUUGUUCUUGUUAUUUUGAGCAAAGUCCUGCCUUUCACCAUUGCUUAUCAUGACAGGUGCUGCAUACCUCACCCACCUACCUAUCCUCAAAUUUCUAGCAAUCCUCCGACCUCAGGAUCCACAUGUAGAAAAAACUUGUUUCUUGUUUCAAAUGUAUUUUUAUUAAAUUUUUGAGAAUUU